rnacentral:tRNA from 1 species
GUGGCUGUAGUUCAGUUGGUAGAACGCCUGGUUGUGGUCCAGGAGGUCGCGGGUUCGAGCCCCGUCAGCCACCCCA